rnacentral:rRNA from 1 species
UACGGAGGAUCCAAGCGUUAUCCGGAUUUAUUGGGUUUAAAGGGUGCGUAGGCGGCCUGUUAAGUCAGGGGUGAAAGACGGUAGCUUAACUAUCGCAGUGCCCUUGAUACUGAUGGGCUUGAAUAUACUUGAGGUAGGCGGAAUGUGACAAGUAGCGGUGAAAUGCAUAGAUAUGUCACAGAACACCAAUUGCGAAGGCAGCUCGCUACACGAAUAUUGACUCUGAGGCACGAAAGCGUGGGGAUCAAACAGG